rnacentral:rRNA from 1 species
UACAGAGGGUGCGAGCGUUGUCCGGAAUCACUGGGCGUAAAGGGCGCGUAGGUGGCCCGACAAGUCCGUGGUGAAAGCUCGACGCUCAACGUCGAGUCGGCCAUGGAUACUGUUGGGCUGGAGCACUGUAGAGGCUCAUGGAAUUCCGGGUGUAGCGGUGGAAUGCGUAGAGAUCCGGAAGAACAUCAGUGGCGAAGGCGGUCUGCUGGGCCGUUGCUGACGCUGAGGCGCGACAGCGUGGGGAGCAAACAGG